AUACGUAGGGGGCGAGCGUUGUCCGGAAUGAUUGGGCGUAAAGGGCGCGUAGGCGGCCUGGUAAGUCUGAAGUGAAAGUCCCGCUUUCAAGGUGGGAAUUGCUUUGGAUACUGCUGGGCUUGAGUGCAGGAGAGGAAAGCGGAAUUCCCGGUGUAGCGGUGAAAUGCGUAGAGAUCGGGAGGAACACCAGUGGCGAAGGCGGCUUUCUGGACUGUAACUGACGCUGAGGCGCGAAAGCGUGGGGAGCAAACAGGAUUAGAUACCCUGGUAGUCCACGCUGUAAACGAUGAUUACUAGGUGUUGGGGACCUAUAGGUCUUCGGUGCCGCAGCAAACGCAAUAAGUAAUCCACCUGGGGAGUACGUUCGCAAGAAUGAAACUCAAAUGAAUUGACGGGG
rnacentral:rRNA from 1 species